rnacentral:lncRNA from 1 species
CUACGCUUGUUAGUUAAACCUUGGUCUACGACGUUUUUUAGACAUUACCCUUCUUAGCAACGAGGACACCUUGUUGGAACAAAGCUUGAUGAAUGGCCUUGCGGUUCUCCUUGGGAAUAAGCAUUUUGUGAGGAAUUUGCACGCUGCAACUUGUCGUUUCUGUGUUGAGGUCUACACAGUGACUGUUUUUUUAAAGCACAUUUAGGGUAGGGUAUGGUCUUUUAAAGAGAUAAGGAAUUUUGUUACAAUCCGUUAAUGGGUCUUUUUCCAAGAAGUAAACAAUGGAACCUUGAAAACGUUAAGGCUAAUAGGAAAGCAAAUCUAUGACUAUGGAAUAAAGCACAAGUUCAUUACAACAGAUUAAAAAAUUUUCUUUAAGAAAGCAACAAUAAUAAUCUAUAGUUUUCUUAUUUAUGCACUCCAAAACAUCAAGCAUGAGAAAAUUACUAUUUAGAAACAAGCCAAUAUUUUAUCAUUGUUUACCGCCUACCAAAAGAUGACAUUAAAUAGUAGAUUCAAAAAUUGGAAUCUCAUAUCUAGCAAUAACAUACAUAUCAUAACUAUCCUCUCAAUCUUAAUCUUGGAAGUCGAUGCCCUAUUAAUAUCGCCGACGAAGAUUUGAUGGUGUCCAUGGCAAAUUGGGAUGUGUUUCAGGUGUGGCAUUGUCCACUUGUUUGUAUAUCUUUACGCUUUUAUCAGCCUCACAAGUAAUUAGACGCAAACCGGUUUUAUCAAAAGAACUAGCAAAGAUUCCAGCUUCGCUAUCCAAUGAACCAGGUUGAACAACAGAUUGAAGCUCUUGAUAUUUGUGACCAGACUUCCAAUCCCAAAAGCACAUGCUUCCAUUAUCAGCACCAGAAAACAUAACAUUAUCUGAGUUUAUUGAAAGAGUAUUAACGAUUGCAUUAUGUCCUUCAAAAUUACCCAUAAAUGCGCCUUCAGGGAAUUUCCAAUGUUUGAUAUUGUCGGACGAGCCACUGGCAAAAGUAAAUUCAUCUGGAUGCAAAGACAGGGCACGAACAGUUUUUUUGUGAUGUGUCAAGGUCGUCAAGGUUUUCCCAGCUGCUAAAUCCCAUAAUCUGAUAGUAGAAUCCAUGGAACCCGUGACUACUUGAGGAUCGAAUUCUUGAACGGCUAAAGAAGCAACAGUGGAUUUGUGGCCCGAUAAAACAUGGACAUUUUGGCGAGUGCGCAUAUCCCAAACACGAGCGACUGCAUCACGACCAGCGGUAACAAGGACGUCAAGUGUUGGAUGGAGUUUUAAGGCAUAGACUCCGGAAAGAUGCCCGUGAUAAUGGCGGAUCACUUUAUUAGUUUCGAGGUCCCAGCAUUUUACCAUUUUGUCUUCACCACAGGAAAAUAAAUAUGGAUGACGGGGAGAUACUGCUAAUCCUCGCACAGUGGCGAUAUGCCCAGUCAAUGUUAGCUUAAGUACUCCAGACGCUAAGUCCCAUAUUUUGAUGGUGCGGUCCCCAGCACCCGUGCAAAACCAUUGAUUACCGGGUUCAACAUCUACGCAUCGAACCCAACCCAAAUGACCACUAAUAACACGCAUAAGAGUCCAUGGAGCAUGCCAUUCAGGGCGAAUCUGUUCGGCAAGAGUGCGCUUUACGAGAGAAGCCUGGGAUUCUCCGGCAAUUCUAUGUGCUGCUUCAGGAACUCCUUUAAUUUUUUCUAAAGAUUGCAUGGAAACCUGCCCUGCUAUUUUCUUAUUAGGAUCUGAAAACUUGGUGAUCACUUGGGAGGAAGGGUUUUCACUGUCUGCUCUAACCGUCAAAGCAUUACUACCAAUAGUGUCUUCUUCGUAAUGUCGGUUCUUCCGUUUUCCAACAGUUCCUCCAAGAACAGAACCAUAUUCUAAAUGUUCUUUGUAUGUUCUUUUGAGAUUUUGAGCUACAGUAUCGUCAAAACUGGUAACUGACCCAAACUCGGCUCCAAAAAGAGUUUUUGAUGUUCUAAGACUAUUUGUAGUCAAAGAAAGUACAUCUGUAUCAUCCGAUAUGUUUUUUGCUUCUGUCAUAAAUCUGUUAAAUUUUUGGUAGAGGAUUUGUAGGUAGAUGGCAGUUGGACUGACUUAUUUGAAGCAUCAUAAUCCACGAACAUUAGCGAACGAGAAAUAUUAAGUACUAAUAUUUGAGAAUAAAGUAGCUUACAAAUGAAUUGUCAAAAUAAAAAAAGGGAUGGUUAUCAAGUAAUAAAAGUUUGUAAU